AGAAUGCAUUUUGACCGCCAGUGAAAGCUGGUUUUGUAGCAAUACACAAUUUGUAAGGUGCUGCAUGGCUGUCGUCAGCUCGCGCCGUGAGGUGUUGGGUUAAGUCCCGCAACGAGCGCAACCCCUAUCAAUAGUUGCCAACAGGUAAUGCUGGGAACUCUAUUGAAACUGCCGCCGUAAGGCGUGAGGAAGGAGGGGAUGAUGUCAAGUCAUCAUGGCCUUUAUGCCCAGGGCUACACACGUGCUACAAUGGGGUGGACAAAGGGCUGCAACACGGUGACGUGAAGCCAAUCCCAAAAACCAUCUCUCAGUUCAGAUUGGAGUCUGCAACUCGACUCCAUGAAGCUGGAAUCGCUAGUAAUCGUAUAUCAGCAAUGAUACGGUGAAUA
rnacentral:rRNA from 1 species